CCUACGGGCGGCUGCAGUGGGGAAUCUUCCGCAAUGGACGAAAGUCUGACGGAGCAACGCCGCGUGAGUGAUGAAGGUUUUCGGACUGUAAAACUCUGUUGUCAGGGACGAAGGUGCGAGCUGCGAACAGUUGAUCGUAUUGACGGUACCUGACGAGGAAGCCACGGCUAACUACGUGCCAGCAGCCGCGGUAAUACGUAGGUGGCAAGCGUUGUCCGGAAUUAUUGGGCGUAAAGAGCAUGUAGGUGGGCUUUUAAGUCCGAUGUGAAAAUGCGGGGCUCAACCCCGUAUGGCAUUGGAUACUGGAAGCCUUGAGUGCAGGAGAGGAAAGGGGAAUUCCCAGUGUAGCGGUGAAAUGCGUAGAUAUUGGGAGGAACACCAGUGGCGAAGGCGCCUUUCUGGACUGUGUCUGACACUGAGAUGCGAAAGCUAGGGUAGCAAACGGGAUUAGAUACCCCAGUAGUC
rnacentral:rRNA from 1 species